rnacentral:rRNA from 1 species
CAGCAGCCGCGGGAAUACGUAGGGUGCGAGCGUUAAUCGGAAUUACUGGGCGUAAAGCGUGCGCAGGCGGUUUUGUAAGACAGGCGUGAAAUCCCCGGGCUCAACCUGGGAAUGGCGCUUGUGACUGCAAAGCUAGAGUGCGGCAGAGGGGGAUGGAAUUCCGCGUGUAGCAGUGAAAUGCGUAGAUAUGCGGAGGAACACCGAUGGCGAAGACAAUCCCCUGGGCCUGCACUGACGCUCAUGCACGAAAGCGUGGGGAGCAAACAGGAUUAGAUACCCCCGUAGUCCCUGUCUCUUAUAC